GAAUUCGCCCUUAGAGUUUGAUCCUGGCUCAGGAUGAACGCUGGCGGCGUGCCUAACACAUGCAAGUCGAGCGAUCUUCUUCGGAAGAGAGCGGCGGACGGGUGAGUAACGCGUGGGUAACCUGCCUCAUACACAUGGAUAACAUACCGAAAGGUAUGCUAAUACAAGAUGAUAUAAGAGAUUCGCAUGGAUUUCUUAUCAAAGCUCCGGCGGUAUGAGAUGGGCCCGCGGCGCAUUAGCUAGUUGGUGAGGUAACGGCUCACCAAGGCGACGAUGCGUAGCCGACCUGAGAGGGUGAUCGGCCACAUUGGGACUGAGACACGGCCCAGACUCCUACGGGAGGCAGCAGUGGGGAAUAUUGCACAAUAGGGGAAACCCUGAUGCAGCAACGCCGCGUGAGUGAUGACGGCCUUCGGGUUGUAAAGCUCUGUCUUCAGGGACGAUAAUGACGGUACCUGAGGAGGAAGCCACGGCUAACUACGUGCCAGCAGCCGCGGUAAUACGUAGGGGGCUAGCGUUAUCCGGAUUUACUGGGCGUAAAGGGUGCGUAGGUGGUUUCUUAAGUCAGGAGUGAAAGGCUACGGCUCAACCGUAGUAAGCUCUUGAAACUGGGAAACUUGAGUGCAGGAGAGGAAAGUGGAAUUCCUAGUGUAGCGGUGAAAUGCGUAGAUAUUAGGAGGAACACCAGUGGCGAAGGCGACUUUCUGGACUGUAACUGACGCUGAGGCGCGAAAGCGUGGGGAGUGAACGGGAUUAGAUACCCCGGUAAUCCACGCCGUAAACGAUGGGUACUAGGUGUAGGAGGUAUCGACCCCUUCUGUGCCGGAGUUAACGCAAUAAGUACCCCGCCUGGGGAGUACGGCCGCAAGGCUGAAACUCAAAGGAAUUGACGGGGGCCCGCACAAGCGGAGGAACAUGUGGUUUAAUUCGAUGAUACGCGAGGAACCUUACCCGGGCUCGAACGGUGCAUGAAUAUACGAGAGAUUGUAUAGUCCUUCGGGACAUGUAUCGAGGUGCUGCAUGGUUGUCGUCAGCUCGUGCCGUGAGGUGUCGGCUUAAGUGCCAUAACGAGCGCAACCCUUGUCAUUAGUUGCCAUCAGGUCAAGCUGGGGACUUUAAUGAGACUGCCACCGUAAGGUGUGAGGAAGGGGGGGAUGACGUCAAAUCAGCACGGCCCUUAUGUCCGGGGCGACACACGUGUUACAAUGGGAGGUACAGAGGGCAGCUAUCCGGUGACGGAAUGCUAAUCUCCAAAACCUUUCUCAGUUCGGAUUGGAGUCUGCAACUCGACUCCAUGAAGGUGGAUUCGCUAGUAAUCGCGCAUCAGCCAUGGCGCGGUGAAUACGUUCCCGGGCCUUGUACUCACCGCCCGUCAA
rnacentral:rRNA from 1 species